GAUGAAGAACGUAGCGAAAUGCGAUAAGUAAUGUGAAUUGCAGAAUUCAGUGAAUCAUCGAAUCUUUGAACGCACCUUGCACCCUUUGGCCAUUCCGAAGGGCAUGCCUGUUUGAGUAUCAUGAACACCUCAACUCUUCAUGGUUUUCCGUGAUGAGCUUGGACUUUGGGGGUCUUGCUGGCCUAUGGUCAGCUCCUCUAAAAUAAAUCAGCUUGCCAGUGUUUGGUGGGUAUCACAGGUGUGAUAACUAUCUACGCUUGUGGUUUUCCACCAGGUAACCUUCAGCAGUGGAGGUUCGCUGGAGCUCACAGAUGUGUCUCUCCUCAGUGAGGACAGCUCUUUGAAUGUUUGAUCUCAAAUCAGGUAGGACUACCCGCUGAACUUAAGCAUAUCAAUAAGCGGAGGA
rnacentral:misc_RNA from 1 species